rnacentral:misc_RNA from 1 species
CCAAUAGGGUCUCGAGUCAGAUGUUAUUGCGAUCAAAACUUGACUUUCUACAGUUCACUUCACAUUUUAUUUUCAUUUCCAAAAAUACACAUACAGCUAACCCUGUUUAUUCAUUUUCUUAAAUUUAAUAGUGGAAAUAUAGUUUUAGGGCGAGAUAAUAUAUAAUCAAUUUAGUAUUGUGCCAAUUUUAGACGGUGAAUGUUCAUCUAAUCAGAAAGUUUUACUGUAGUGAUAAGUGUUUGAAUAGAGGAGGAAGUUUACAGACAAGACCUUGACGAAAAUAUUUGCAUCUUGGAUAUCAGUAAACUAAUCAUUUUUCGGACAAUGGGUUGGUGGUCACUAUCGCUUAGUGGCUAAGCGACAUGGAGCCGGACCUAGAGUCGGAUGGGUUGCCAUCUAUUCAUAUAAGUGAUGUCAUUGAAGUAAUCAAACAAGAUGAGGCAUCAGGUGUGCGGGAUUUCUCUGCAGAGUUACGGGAAACUGAGGAGGUGCUAGCUGAGGAUUUGGCUACUACUGGAGUCCUUGGAGCAACUUCUGGAGGUUUUGGAAUCCCUGCGCCUACUGGAACAGCGAUUAGUUCUGGAUUUUUCGGAACUGAUUCAGGUUGGCAACUGGAAGUAAGCUCUGUAGUUGCUGGAAGUUCUGGACUUGCUGGGCCUUCUGGAGUAGUUGCAAGUUCUGGAACAUCUGAAUUCCCUGGAACAGGUUCUGGAGCAAACGUUAGUUCUGGACCAUCUGGAUUCCCUGGAGCAGUUUCUGGAGCAAAUCCAAGCUCUGGACCAUCUGGAUUCCCUGGAGCAGGAUCUGGAACAAACGUUAGUUCUGGACCAUCUGGAUUUCUUGGAGCAGUUUCAAACUCUGGAUUUGCCGGACCCUCAGAAUCUGGGCCGCUGCUGUUGGGAGCAAGAGGUGGAGGAGUGGUGGAGGGGGGAACGGCCAUCAUGCACAAGCAAGCAGUGUGUGUGAUCACUGAGCAGCCUGCCUCCAAAGCGCUGCGCUUCCGCUACGAGUGUGAAGGCAGAUCGGCCGGAAGCAUACCCGGUGUGAACAGCACGCCUGAGAAUAAGACUCAUCCCACCAUUCAGAUAAAGAACUACGUAGGGCGGGCGGUGGUGGUGGUAUCUUGCGUGACGAAGGACUCACCUUACAGGCCGCACCCGCACAGCCUGGUUGGCAAGGAGGGCUGCAAGCAUGGCGUCUGCACCAUGGAGGUCAACACCGAAACCAUGGCACUCGCCUUCGCCAACCUUGGCAUCCAGUGCAUCAAGAAGAAGGACAUCGAGGCGGCGCUCAGUCAACGAGAGAAGUUACGCAUCGAUCCAUUCAAGACUGGCUACGAUCACAGGAACCAGCCUGGUAGCAUUGAUUUGAACGCGGUUCGUCUCUGCUUCCAAGUGUUCCUCGAAGGCAAGAUUAAGAACCAGUUCAACGUGGCUAUCACGCCGGUCGUGUCCGAGCCCAUCUAUGACAAAAAGGCGAUGUCCGAUCUUCUCAUCUGCAAACUGAGUGAAGAUUCCGCUCCUGUUACUGGGGGAAAACAAAUUAUUCUCCUGUGUGAAAAAGUUGCCAAAGAGGAUAUCUCAGUGAAACUUUAUGAAGUGGUCAACAACCAGAUAGUAUGGGAAGGAGAAUGCGAAUUCAAUACCACCGAUGUACACAAGCAAGUGGCUAUCACCUUCAAAACUCCACGCUAUAAGAAUAUUGAAGUGACCGAACCGAUCGUAGCGCAGAUCCAGCUAGUGCGUCCCUCGGAUAAAGCCGCCAGCGAUCCGCUGCCGUUCCAGUUGACGCCCAUUCACUCAGGUAGGGGGCAACUGCUCUGGUCACUCAACCGGCGGCGUAAAGCCGACUAUCGCACUUUCGCCAACAUAUUAAAUACGGACGCCCGUCUCAUGACCUGUAAAGGGGUGGGAGCUGGAGCGAUUGAUAAGCAAGGCCACAAAGUGAUGACUCUGGAUGCCGUGGGGGAGGAAAUGAGUGUGGAAAACUGGGGGAAGGCAGAGGAAGAUGAUGGCAAAGCGGAUCCUGAUAGGUGGAAGAAGAUAAAUGAUGCCUAUGCCGAGUUGAAGAAGAAUAAAAGGGGCAGGAUGGUUGAAGCAGGUAGUGGAAAUUUGAGUGCAAAUAUGGGGGGAAACGUUGUUAGAGAUGGGAAAUUUGGUGUAAGUUCAGGGGGAGAUAUUAUUGAUGCAGGUGGAAAAGCUGGUGAGAAUGUGAAUGGAAAUCAAAGUGCUGUGGAAAGUGUGGUAUUUAAUGGAAGUUAUGUUGGAGAUAAUGGAGGAUACGGUGGUGGAAAUCUGGAAGAGUUUAGUGGAGGAAACAUUGCAGAAGUUGGUGGAGAUUCGUUUGGAAAUGUUUUAGUUAUAGACGGAAAUAUUCUAGAGAAUUCUAGAAGUGUAGAUAAUAAUUUGGGUGGGACCAAUGGCACAGAGGAAGGUUUCACAGAUCUGCUGAACCAGGUCAACGAGUUGGAUUCGAUCUGUGUAGAUGGUAGCAACGAUUUUGGGAUUUACAGUAGUUUACAGUUGGCUAUGAAGAAUCCGUGUGAAUUUAUUGAUAGUAAUGCUAUGGAGACUGGAGAGGCGUACGAAGAUAUAGCUCCACCUCGACCGACGGCUAGUAAACCACCGUUACCUCACCACCAACAGGUAUUCAGUAAUGUUGAGGUUGAAAACGAGGAUGACGAGGGGGCAACAUUACCUCCCCUGCCCCCCAAACGCGUCAAAAAGUGCGGCAGCCCCGCCCCGCCUCAAAAAACCCUCCCCCCAACACCCGAGGGCACUAAAAAGUUAAGUUUGUUUCAAAAACUGUUUUCAUCGACGUCAAAACGCAGCAAAUCGCGGAAAAACAGUUUGACACAGUCGGUUGCGUCACGGAAACCCAGUGUAACGUCAUUGGUUAGUAGGGUGGGGUUGGGAGAGUCGGGGGAGGGGGACCAUGAGAAGCAGGACAUGGCGUUGACUGAGGCUGAACAUUAUGCGUUAUAUACAUCGCUGGCGCCUCAUGCUACCGCCUCUGAAUUUGAUGAGAUGUCGUUCUACUAUAGUCCGGUAGAGGGUCGCCCUACUAAUGCUGAUGUGCCUGUUAAAUAGUAGGGCUAAAUGAAACCAUCAGGGACCACUGUAGGCCUACCUGUAGCCGUGAGGUUUUCGUCAGCCUGUCCACCUAUUGUUCUUGAAAAGAAAGUAAUAGAGAUAUUAUUUUUUACUAAUUGAAUAGGAAACAAACUGGUGGUUCCUUCUCGUUUCCAUGGCCCAAUAGUAGUCUAUAUUGUGAACUACUAGUACAAAGGACUAUUGUAAAAGAUAGUUGUGCAAAAUAAUGAAAGUUGUUGGGGAAAUCACACCAAUUCGUGCAACCCAAUUAUGCUGCGAAUUUGUAUUGGAAUUAGUGAAACGAUGUGAGAUUUGUACAAGGUUAAUGGAAACUAGGUUGGAAUGUGCCAUGUAUGUGAGGCUCAGUUCACACGACUUUUUCAGUGAUUAGGCUACAUAAAGUCUUAUUUUAGAAAGUUUCUAUGCUUUAUUUUUCAUAAUUUUUUUAUUAGUUUAUCUUCAUAGUCUAUUAGUCUUCAUUUAUUAACGCACAAAUCAUUGCAACAGGGAAAGAAAUUAAUCAAAAAUUGGUUUAUUAAAAAAGUUGGUCAAAGAACGUAAGCCAAAAUAAUUUUAAAUUUUGAAUUGAUGAAAACUGUAUUAUGAAUCAGUCUUGAAUAUUUUCAUUUAUCUAUAUGGUGCUACACUCAAUUUCUAGUCAUUCUUCCUUCUAUAUUGUAAUAGAUUUGUGGUCCCUUCUAGUUGUUUUGUUAUAUCUUGUUUGUUAUUUCAUCUAUAGUUUAUUUACUAAUUUCUCAACUAUUUGCACUAUUAUUUUAAAUUGUAAGUUCCUCAACUUACAUAGUAGGCCUACUUAAUAAAACUGUACUUAAAAUUAUUAUGAGUAGCCAUUUUUUAUUUCAUAUUGGCGGUCAGUUUUUGGUACCUUGUUUGUUAUUUGUCACAUCACUCAUUUCCCUUACUAUAAUAUAUUACUAUUAGUUGCUUACUUAUUUUGUUCAAUUUCCACAUUUUCACCCUUUUUUGUAAGUUUUGUUUUAAAUAAACGAAAUUUGUCUUCAGCUCCGAGCAUAGGAGUCAGGAGGAAAAGGGCCAAAUACAAUACUAUACAGGAGUUGGAGGCUAAAAAUACUAAUUUGCUUCAAUGUGAAGGAACAUUG